UACGUAGGGUGCUAGCGUUGCUCGGAAUCACUGGGCGUAAAGGGUGCGUAGGCGGGUCUUUAAGUCAGGGGUGAAAUCCUGGAGCUCAACUCCAGAACUGCCUUUGAUACUGAGGAUCUUGAGUUUGGGAGAGGUGAGUGGAACUGCGAGUGUAGAGGUGAAAUUCGUAGAUAUUCGCAAGAACACCAGUGGCGAAGGCGGCUCACUGGCCCGAUACUGACGCUGAGGCACGAAAGCGUGGGGAGCAAACAGG
rnacentral:rRNA from 1 species